AUAAUAUUUUUUUAAUAAAAUAAAAUAAAAAGUUGUGCAUGUAGAAAAAAACGAAUGCACAUGGAGAAUUUGAAUGCAGCAUUGCUUGUGCCCUGCUUCUGAACCUGUGUUGCGGACUUCUGCAGUUAACCCUCAAACCCAAGUCCACGCUUAGUGCGACAAACAACAUGACAACAACCGGCAGGAACAUCUAACCACACAUGGUUUGCAACAACACACCUCGUCUAUCACCAUGCGAACCGUGAUCUCACGGAUCAGUGUGAUGUUCCAAGAUGUAAUGCAUUCAUGAGUCGGCUCUCGAUUUGCAUGAAUAACUUUACAGCUUCAAUACAGUCUGCGUGUUUAUAUGGCCAUGCCCAUGAUAUAUAACAGUCUAUAUUAAGCUAAUAUGCACAACUUUUCUCCUCAUGGCGCCUAUUCACACUUCUCUGACCUCUACUGGCCUCUAGCGGUGAGACGUGGCACUGCACCCACCCGCACGGAGACGCUUGAUUACAGGCGCUCCACUCUUGGACCCGGUGUUGUUUUCCACGGAAUUUUCCAUGCAUCCCUUUUCUGGCAACACCAUUGACUUAUUUACUGGUUCUGGUAUGUUCAGGCUGUUAAAGAACAUAUGGAAAUUUUUAGAGCUUAACAUGAUCCUCCGCAUGCCAAACAAGUAAAAGGUUAAUACUCUUUCCUUUUAAUUUUUAUCACUCUGCAAUUCAGCUUCAUCCUGAAUAAACCACAGAGCAGUUGUUGUUCAUGGGAAUGUUCUCUGCUUUAUUCAGGAAAAAUAAAGAGGCAACACUAUCCCCGAGUUACCCUGGGUUAUUUGAGCUAAAAGCCUAAUAAUUUAUAAUUCUCUAUGCGGUAACUAAGACUUGAGCCAUAUGUUAUAUAAAAACAAGAAUGCUCAGCACUUUUCUAAAUCAUACAGUAUGACCUCCUGCAUGUCAGAUAAUCUUUGAACUUGCAUGUUCGUGUGACGCGUGUGCACUGAACCUGCUGCAAAACGUAAUAAACAGUCGGCAGUAGAACCCAGACCGCAGAGAUAAACGCGUCACGUCUGCAGCUACGGUUUUGUUCGCAGGGUUCUCCGCUGAGCUCCGUUAUUGAGCAACAGGCCUUGUUUUGACUGAGGUGUCCACGCAGGUUGCUCGAGUGUAAUUGUGCAACGCUUUGCAGCUGUCACAUAAUGUUCUCUGUUGCAGUUAUCGCACCUCGUCGCUGAUAACGAGUCCUAUUAGACGGCCUCUGCUCCCUAAUAUGCAUUUGUUUUCCUAAAGCUGCAGUAAACAGCAUUCAGGCAAAUCUGUGGGCCUGCAUUUAAAGUGAUAACACACGACCUGCAGAUUUGUGCGUAGAGAAACGAAUUCCUCGGUGCACGGGCAAAGUCAGAGGCUUUGUGGGGAAAAAAGGAGUUGUGUUACGUAACAAAGGAAUUGGAGUGGAAAGGCAGAUUUUUGCGGGGCCUAACAAGGCUGAGCAGAAAGCACAUUGACUGGGUAUUAGGGCCUAUAGCGCCUGUCGCCUCGCAUCCUGUGCCGUGACCGUGGAGCUGCCAGCUCUAAUAUCAGGCCCUGUGCCGCUGAUGAGGACAUGCUAAUUUACCUUGCACCACUUAGUCGUGGCGCGUCACAGCGAUUGCUUGUGGCUGGGCUGAGAUGCACAGAUGGAGGCUACAGGCAGCAGGAAGCCCUUCUGGAGCCUGCCAGUAACGGGCGAGAUGGAGGCUCAUGGCUUCCUGCUCUCUCUUUCGGAUCGCUGCUCCAACACAAAUUGUGCAGGAGCACUUGCCGCCUGGCCAUGUUCGGCCUGUGCCAGCUCCAGUGAGUCAUGCUGCAGCGAGGCACUGGGCCACUGUUUCCAUCAGAUGUCCCCUGCGCACACGCCAACCGCGUUAUAUAAUGGAGUGAUUCAUCCGCGCCGAUGCCUCACGAGGAACGAGGCCCGGAGACGCCGCCGCCUUUGUUAUGAGCAGCGUCUGAGGAGGGGAUCGGCCGCGAGGAGAUGGAACCCACGCCAGGACGAACGGCGCGAACUCGCGCUCGGCUCCGCGUCUUUCCAGCGUCCGUGUCGCGUGUUGCAGGAGCGCUCGCGGGCCGGAGCCACGGGCUCAUGCGCUGCACAAACCCCGCAGGCGACCAUCAUUACAUCACACAUAGGGCUCCUGAGCCGCGAACAGCAACAACUGGCAGCCUCGGGUAUGUUAGAUAUUUUUAAUAUGACAGAACUGCAUUAUUAUGUAUUUUCUGUAUAAAUAAAAGCCUCUAUAUAGAACAGGUUAGCUUCAGCUGAGACAGGUCCGUUUCGUCAUCGCCGCCCCACACUUACCGGCGGUCGGGCCUCCUGAACAGACUCGGCGAGUACGGGGGCGAGUAGCUUAAGGGUCUUUCAGGAUAAACGAAGUGCUGAUAGUGGCAGCAGAAGCGCUGGGGUGGUUCUGCCAGGCGAAGGGCGCACAGCGUCCUGGGAGACGGCGGCCUGGGCCCGGCGGGGGCGGCUUCGGCGGGUCGCCUGUGAGACUGCCCCAUGUCGGCGUCCGAAUGAGGCUGGAGCCCUCGACCCCCCGCUGGCUGUUCGCUUUCAACGACUGCGUCCUCGCGGCACAAAGGGACGAUUGAGCUCAGGCCGCACCUCUGGAGUACGAGUGCCACGCUCAGACUGGCACUUGUACUGUAGGAUGCGUCUCCGGCUCAGGGGAACACAAUGGCGCCGGAGCGGCGGCGAGGAGGACGGUUUCACCAAGCGCCAAAAUGAUUCAUCUCUUCAGAGAAGAUGAGGCUAAAGCUCCUUCUCUGAGGAGCCAUCAUCACGGCUGUCCCCAGGACGCGAACUACAAUAAUCUGUCUCUAAUAGUUCUGGGUUUGUUCAUGUGUAAAACGAGAGUCUGAUAAAGUGGAGAAGAGCAAUAUUGCAAGUUUUAGAGCAGUGCAUUGUGGACAGGUCUCGUUUCAGACCUCAGGCUUUUUAUAAUCUUUGCUAUUAAAAUUUUUCUCAAGUAAAGUGUAGUUAUUUUUUAUUUGUAUAUACUGUAAAUAUUUGUGAAUUAUACGUCCAAAAGAGCCCAUGAAGCCGGACUGAUCUGAGUGACGGACAGGAAGUAGGAAUAAAGGGAACUGGUGACAAUUUACAGGUAAGAUAAAUAUUUUACGGCCAAAACAACAGAAAGAGAAAUUUCAAACAGUGACUUCUGUUACUGUUAUUCUCUGUGACCCACAUGCUUUAAAACACAUGGUCAGAACCUGUGGAGCUUCUCUUCUGGCGUGAGCUCUGUGUUUUGCAUAAAGGAAUAGCUUAGCGGCCUCGGCAGCUCCAGGCUGUGAUCAUCACGUCUGAGGCCAUUAAAGGUGUAACACCAGCUUCAUAAUUGAAGGGCUUUUUUUCUGUUUUGACAGUUCUCUGUAAACGUCUCAGUCUCCAUUUACUGUAAUACCACUUUCUUGGCACACGGACGGUUUUGACAUUUGAUACUUAAUGGUGCGCACAGAAACGCGUGGUUUUAUAUAAAAAGAAAAAGCUUGUGUCAAACCAGUUUCUGCAUGUCGUCUUUAGAAAGAUGUAAUCUUGGGUUGGUAAUACUGCACGCUAUCAUUUAUCAUUACACCGGAUUUACUGUAAUGAUGUCAUUGUUGGUGCCAUAAAUGUAUUCAUUAGGAACAAUAAUGAAAUACAAUAUGCAAGACUAUUAAACUUCAGAGUAUUUUCUGCUAAACUAAAGAAUAACUAUUGAAAAAACAUAGUGAAUAUAUUCUUUUAUCUAUAUUUGCUUUGGACGGCAGCUCGUUGCCUGUGAACAGACUUGUAUAGCAGGGCAUCAAUCAUCGCUGCAUGGCUUCUACUGGGCAUGUUUACACCCAUCACGUCAGGAGAAAUUCAUUUAAAACUGAAGCCAUUUAAUCCGUCUCUGUUUAGCUUAGUCAUUCAAACCCAGCUAGAUAUUAUUAUGUUUUUGCUGUAGUUGAUGAUGUGUCACGUUGGAAAAAAUAUAAUGCACCUUUUGUAUGAAUUAGUAAAUAAGCAAGAAAGUUCAUUUAGUAACAAAAAAGGUUCAGUUCAAAGUUGUGUCUGUUAUUCAUUCCCUUCUUUUUCCUUGAUUAAAAACAUCUCCUUAGCUUUGUUC